rnacentral:rRNA from 1 species
CUUAUGCCGGCGACCGGCGGACGGGUGCGUAACGCGUAUGUAACCUACCUUUGACAGGGGGAUAACAUCGAGAAAUUGGUACUAAUACCCCAUAACAUCACCGGAGGCAUCUUCGGUGGUUGAAAACUCAGGUGGUCAGAGAUGGACACGCGUUGUAUUAGCUAGUUGGUGAGGUAACGGCUCACCAAGGCGACGAUACAUAGGGGGACUGAGAGGUCAACCCCCCACAUUGGUACUGAGACACGGACCAAACUCCUACGGAAGGCAGCAG